CCUUUGGUUUCCAGACAAAGGCUCCGAGACUAUAAUAGCAGGGAAUGGGAAUCCAACGAAUUUGAAUAACAAAGACAUUGAAGUUGUAUACAUCGGUUUUUGUUUUUGGAUUACGUUCCUUAUUUAGGAAAAGGUAGGGGGUCAAAAAACAGGAUUCCAAAAAGUGCAAAAAUUUAGACAUAUUUUCCUUUAUAUCUUUUUAACGAACAAUAUUUUGUUAAGACAUGUAGAAUAAAAGUUGUGCAGAAUAUCAAGGGCUUUCAUUUGACACCAAUAAAAAAGGGCUGGUCCCUUAAAUUAAGGGCCAAUAGCCCCUAAAAGUGUUUGCUUAAUAACUCAAAAACGGUUAGGAUUUUGAUAUGGAUGUCGCUGGAAAAGUUGUUUGUUGGGAUCUCAUAAAGGUCGUAACAAUAUUAUUUUGUAAGUGAUUUGUGUAGUAUGAGUGUAAAAAGCUUUACAUGUUGACAUGUACCUGUUUUCAUUAGACAAGUUAACGAAAGUCUUUGUGCGUACAACUGGCAUAAAGUUGCCGCAGAAAGUAUGCUGGUUUAUACAGGAGGCAUUAAUUUAUAAGAAAUUUGUUUUUGUUGGAGUACAUGCUUUUUUAAGGAGUUUAAGUCAUUGUUGUUAAGUUCUUAUAGUGCACAAUCAUUAAAAACGGCAAUUGGAAA
rnacentral:sRNA from 1 species